AUUGAACGCUGGCGGCAGGCCUAACACAUGCAAGUCGAGCGCAGCGGCGGACGGGCGAGUAAUGCCUAGGAAUCUGCCUGGUAGUGGGGGAUAACGUCCGGAAACGGGCGCUAAUACCGCAUUCAAUCAGAUCAGCCUAGGUUGGAUUAGCUAUUUGGUGGGGCAAAGGCGUCCCAAGGCGACGAUCCGUAACUGGUCUGAGAGGAUGAUCAGUCACACUGGAACUGAGACACGGCCCAGACUCCGACGGGGGGCAGCAGUGGGGAAUAUUGGACAAUGGGCGAAAGCCUGAUCCAGCCAUUCCGCGUGUGUGAAGAAGGUCUUCGGAUUGUAAAGCACUUUAAGUGUGGAGGCGGUACCAACAGAAUAAGCACCGGCUAACUUCGUGCCAGCAGCCGCGGUAAUAC
rnacentral:rRNA from 1 species